rnacentral:lncRNA from 1 species
UUAAGUGCCAGUCUUUGUAAGAAUCAGGCAAUUUUGGUAAAAAUUAAAACAUGAUAAGAAAAAAACCCACGAGUUAAUCAUGCUAUUUAAUACUAAUCAUCAUCCUGAGUUAAAAAGUAUUAGUCUUUCGUUUGUGUGUGUCUGGUAAUAUCAAAUAACUUGGUUAGAAAAUUGGUUAGAAUGAUAGCAAAUUACAGAGUUAUCUCCCCUUAUUCGUUAAUUUCUAGUGCAUUUCAACCAAAUUGUAUCUUCUAUUACCAGAGCAGAAAACAGAAAUGAAUGUUAUUUUUGUGCAUAACUUCAUAUUAUGAACUAAAAUCAAUGUCAAAUUGGGUGGGGUUUUUUGGUCAUGUUUUCAC